rnacentral:lncRNA from 1 species
AGGGAGAAAUGAAUUAUGGUGUUUCUGAUGAAGUCGGCCAUUGUCAUAGGAUCUCCCUCCUCAGUUCAAAAUGCUAAUCCUACAGUAAAAGGCAGGUGAAGAGUUGGCUCCUCAGCGCACUUUCAUCAUGAAGCACUGCCUUGCCACAGACAACCUAUUAAAGGCAAUGAUAUCAAGUGAUCACCAAGCACAACUGCCAGCCAAAAUCUCCCUUUCCCCUUUUAGAGUCAAUAGUCUUGGAUGCUUUUCCGUUGUGGUAGAAAGCUAAUACGUUUCACCCUCAGAGGGCCAAGAAACAGAAGACCACUUCUGGACCGUAUAUGACAGUUCACUGGCAUAGGAUCUGAUGCUUUUUCUCACUUUCAUCCAUCAAACUGUUCUUCAUUAGAGACUUGAAAAAAAGACCUUGUAAAAGUCGUGUGCUUCUGUUGACUCCCACCCAGCUCCCAUACAAAGAAGUCCAGUCGCAAUGUGUCAAAAGUGACUGCUUUUAGCACAAUCGUACUAGAUAUCAACAUGUUAAAUAUUAGCUAUUAAUGAGACAUUAAAGUCAAUUAAGUUUCUUUAAUCUAUCUGAUGAUGUCUGAAGCUAGGGAAUGAAGCCAUGCUACGAUACAGCAAUGACUCCGUUAAAACCAUCUGCUGUUGUCUGUUGACCUGGAGACAUCGUGCAAAGAAAAUGCCUGAAGAAUCAGCUGAUCUUCACCCACUAUCACACAGGUAGCCAGAUGUAUUCUGCUCUAUUAGUAUAGUUGGAACAUUAUUGAGAA